UACGGAGGGUGCAAGCGUUGUUCGGAAUUACUGGGCGUAAAGCGCGCGUAGGCGGCUUUGCAAGUCGGGUGUGAAAUCCCCAGGCUUAACCUGGGAACUGCAUUCGAGACUGCAUUGCUAGAGUAUGGGAGAGGGAAGUGGAAUUUCCGGUGUAGCGGUGAAAUGCGUAGAUAUCGGAAGGAACAUCAGUGGCGAAAGCGACUUCCUGGACCAAUACUGACGCUCAUGUGCGAAAGCGUGGGGAGCAAACAGG
rnacentral:rRNA from 1 species